rnacentral:rRNA from 1 species
AUUGAACGCUGGCGGCAGGCCUAACACAUGCAAGUCGAACGGUAACAGGAAACAGCUUGCUGUUUCGCUGACGAGUGGCGGACGGGUGAGUAAUGUCUGGGAAACUGCCUGAUGGAGGGGGAUAACUACUGGAAACGGUAGCUAAUACCGCAUAACGUCGCAAGACCAAAGAGGGGGACCUUCGGGCCUCUUGCCAUCGGAUGUGCCCAGAUGGGAUUAGCUAGUAGGUGGGGUAACGGCUCACCUAGGCGACGAUCCCUAGCUGGUCUGAGAGGAUGACCAGCCACACUGGAACUGAGACACGGUCCAGACUCCUACGGGAGGCAGCAGUGGGGAAUCUUGCACAAUGGGCGCAAGCCUGAUGCAGCCAUGCCGCGUGUAUGAAGAAGGCCUUCGGGUUGUAAAGUACUUUCAGCGGGGAGGAAGGGAGUAAAGUUAAUACCUUUACUCAUUGACGUUACCCGCAGAAGAAGCACCGGCUAACUCCGUG